rnacentral:rRNA from 1 species
GUUGUAUAGUCAAGUAAUUAAGUGCAUGUGGUGGAUGCCUUGGCAGUCAGAGGCGAUGAAAGACGUGAUAGCCUGCGAAAAGCUUCGGGGAGGUGGCAAAUAUCCUGUGAUCCGGAGAUGUCUGAAUGGGGAAACCCACUUACCAUAAGGUAGGUAUUGCAUGAUGAAUACAUAGUCAUGCAAGGCGAACGAGGGGAAGUGAAACAUCUCAGUACCCUCAGGAAAAGAAAUCAAUUGAGAUUCCCUCAGUAGCGGCGAGCGAACGGGGAUCAGCCCAUUAAGUUAUGUGUGUUUUAGCGGAAUGCUCUGGGAAGUGCAACCGUAGAGGGUGAUAGU